UAAAACGGGAAAAGCGCUCCCUGAGUCAUCCCUGGAGCCGGGCGGCAAAGGCCCCUCCUGGGACCAUGCGUGGACCCUCCAAUGAGGGGGGGCCUGGGUCACCUUCACUGAGUGGACAGAACACUCAGUGAAGUUCCAAAGGACACUCAGUGAAGUUCCGAAGGACACUCCGCGUCUUUUUCCUCCAGCUCCUGAAGGAAGCACAGUGAAGACUCCAGCAUGGAAAAGCGUGUCCCACACGGCCUCGGCGCCUCCGUGGAUGAUAGGCUUGGGGGCACCCCCUUUCCUCUGGCAGGUUCUGGUGGGGAGGCAGCACACCGUCCACAGGAGCAACGGCCUCUGCAUCUGCCCACUGCAGAUUCACUUCGUAUUUUUAGUUCCCAGACCUUGACAUCCAAGCUCCCGCUCUGUGGCUUCCGCGGCAGCCUGGCAAGCUUCCUGUGAAGUCGCCCGCUGCUGAGCUUCCGCACCCUUCCUCCCGCAGAGCCAGUCAUCGAAGAGCGGGAUCAUCCCGGAAGGAUCUCAGGAUGUGGAAGAGAAGCCUGAGAAUCCUCCUAGACUGAAGAUGCAAAGAAAAAGAUCAAAGAAUCACUCUCUACUCUGCACCCUUCUUGAACCCUCUACAUUCUUUAAUAAUUGCAGUGUUUUCCAGAGGUAUCCAUAAAGGUCCCUCAGUGGCAAACAACAGAACCUAACUCUGGAUGACUUUUGCAGAAAAAAGUUAAUUUGGACGUUUGAAAGUCAGAAGGAAGGCUGAACAAUUAGAAUUUGAGAGGAUGAGAACUGGACCAACCACCACUGUCGGUAUGCAUAAGUUUUGUUCAUUUUCUUUCCUGUGUCAUUCCACUCCGGAUUGUCUGAGCUUGUGUACGCCACCUGCCCUUUUCUUGGCCAGAAGAUGGCAGAGUUCCUUAACUGACCCGACCCUCCCAUCCAAAUCUAUCUGCCGUUUCUAGAAGA